rnacentral:rRNA from 1 species
UACGUGGGGUGCGAGCGUUGUCCGGAAUUAUUGGGCGUAAAGAGCUCGUAGGCGGUCUGUCGCGUCGAAUGUGAAAACCCGGGGCUCAACUCCGGGCUUGCAUUCGAUACGGGCAGGCUAGAGUUCGGUAGGGGAGUCUGGAAUUCCUGGUGUAGCGGUGAAAUGCGCAGAUAUCAGGAGGAACACCGGUGGCGAAGGCGGGACUCUGGGCCGAUACUGACGCUGAGGAGCGAAAGCGUGGGGAGCGAACAGG